ACCAUCCUGAAGAUUGAAGCUUGCUUCAUGAUUCAGAUUUUGGUGAGUGGCGGACGGGUGAGUAACACGUGGGUAACCUGCCCAAAAGUGGGGGAUAACAUUUGGAAACAAGUGCUAAUACCGCAUAACAACUACUUUCACAUGAUCGUAGCUUGAAAGAUGGCUCUGCUAUCGCUUUUGGAUGGACCCGCGGCGUAUUAGCUAGUUGGUGAGGUAAUAGCUCACCAAGGCAAUGAUACGUAGCCGACCUGAGAGGGUAAUCGGCCACAUUGGGACUGAGACACGGCCCAAACUCCUACGGGAGGCAGCAGUAGGGAAUCUUCCACAAUGGGCGAAAGCCUGAUGGAGCAAUGCCGCGUGAGUGAAGAAGGUUUUCGGAUCGUAAAACUCUGUUGUUGAAGAAGAACAUGCGUGAGAGUAACUGUUCGCGUACUGACGGUAUUCAACCAGAAAGCCACGGCUAACUACGUGCCAGCAGCCGCGGUAAUACGUAGGUGGCAAGCGUUGUCCGGAUUUAUUGGGCGUAAAGAGAAUGUAGGCGGUUUAUUAAGUUUGAAGUGAAAGCCCUCGGCUCAACCGAGGAAGUGCUUCGAAAACUGGUAAACUUGAGUGCAGAAGAGGAAAGUGGAACUCCAUGUGUAGCGGUGGAAUGCGUAGAUAUAUGGAAGAACACCAGUGGCGAAGGCGGCUUUCUGGUCUGUAACUGACGCUGAGAUUCGAAAGCAUGGGUAGC
rnacentral:rRNA from 2 species